UAUUUUUUGCAGCUGCAUUUUUUCUUUCCUUCUUCCCGAAAUUUUGCGGCCGCAUUGGCAAGCCCUAAACCCGCCGCCCCUUCUCCUUCCCUCUCCGAACCCUAAACCCGUCGCCCCUUCUCUGUUCCUUUCCAAGCUACGCCGUUGUCAUCCUGGACCACUAGAAACAGGUCGAGAGGUUGAAAAAAGUUCACAAAGUUGGGUUAGCACCGCCUGAUCCCGAGACUUUCGCCCGCAGCUAUCAGCUGGAGGUGCUGGAGAAAGCGAAGAAGGAGAACAUGAUCGUCUUCCUGGAGAUGGGUUCCAGGAAGACGCUCAUCACCAUCAUGUAGUAGGUACUUUUGUUAAUUUAUUUUCUUCAGGAGGUUAAUAUUACUGCUUCUAUCCAGCGAGGUUGCUGAUUAGUCGCUGUGGAUUUGGACGACGAUUGUUGAUCUGUAGCUAGUGGAGACUAGCAAUGUUUCAAGGAGGUGGGUCACAACUCCAUUGCCACUACUAUGAUGAAGGAUCAUUUGAUCGGCACCAUCGAGGGUUAUUCUUCAAGGCUGCCCAAGCCCUUCUUUGGGAUCAUACUAUCGUAGCAGCAGGCGAAGCCGGGCUCUUCCUCCGUAGUCUCUGCUUUCCUCCUCCCUCUUCUCGCUCUCGUCGUAGUUGUUGUUGCUUGGUAUUACUUCAGUUUCCUUGCGUAGUAUAUCUAAUAAAUAACUUCCGUAUCGUUAGCCUCGCCAUUAGUUACUGAGACCUAUCGACAAAAAUAUCCUAAUUGAGAUGCUAAUUAAGUAUCAUCGUUACAGUUCAUUCCCUAUGCAUUUAUAAGGACGGAAGCUAGUCAUGUUGAGGGGUUGAGUCCAGAACUUGCAUUUGUCACCAUCAGAGGUGGCAAGGAACUAGAAGAAAAGCUUGUGGUGUUCACUUGAUUCAUAAAGCACCACCUUUUCAUCUUUUCCGCUUCUUUACAACUUUCAUAUGUUUUAGUGAUAUAAGUUGUUUUGUAUGUUAUCAGGAAAAUUCAAUGCUUAUAAAUUUAACACCUUUACUUGUGAUUUUGAGGGUUGAUAGGUUAAACCAACAAGUGAGACCAUUGUAAAUCACAUGUUUAUUCAAUGGAUUCAAAGCUACCGCGAUCUUCCUCUCAUGGUUAACCAGGUACAUAACUCAGGGGCAUGAGGAUUGGGAUUUUUUAUGCAAGGAGUGAGUUUUGUUUAGUUUCUAGAUUGCCUUGCUAAUGCGAAGAAGUCAUUUGGCGAACUGGAAAACAUGUGAUUUAUGGUUUGAUACUACUAAGUUUGAUGAAUGUGCAACUCUUUUUGUAUAUUUUAGGUGGCAUAUUUUGGAUUGAAUGCAGUAAAUAUUUAGUUUUGCA